rnacentral:lncRNA from 12 species
UGCAGGCCAGCGGGCAGAUGGGAGGGAGCAAGGAGGCUCAGGGCACAGGCUGUGUCACCUGUGAUACUGCGUGCGGACUUCGCGGCUCUGUAAUCCCCCCAGCAUGGAUUCAACCUCACACUCGGGGUGGAUACUGGUACCUGAGAACAAAUGGAUAAUUUACAACUUAUCCCUCGAUGAAACCAGAUCAUCAGUGGCUUCACACCUGGGAUGCAUCAUUAUGGGUAUCUGCAAAAGUGCCUCUACUGAAUUGUGCUUUAAUAUGAUGCCCUUGGCUAAAUAAAGAGCAUUAUUAAAAGGGUUCCUUUGAAGCUUUUCACCUCAUUUAGUUCAAAGAUGUUGCAAAGACAUUAUUGUUUACAUUAUUCAAUGAUCUCUUUUGGAAGACCUACUGAAGAAACCUCUCUCUGGUCUCAAUGACAGAAGUACUUGGACUUGUCUGAGCAUUGGAUUGACUUGGCUAAUCUUCUAUAUUAUUUGGCUAUUUUAUUCCACUUCAAACAUGCCGCUAGAAGUUUUUAAUUCAAAUACAUGGCUCACCUCUAUAAGCACACAGAAUUUCAAGAAAUGUAAUUUGCACGUUCACCUUGUUCCUGACUCUGGCUAUUCUCUUACUAUGAGUUUCUUUUGGCCACUUUUUUUUUUUUUUUUUUUUUUUUUACCCCUUUGACAUUGCUGUACUAUAUAUUUGUUUGUAAGCCAUCCUAAAUCCUUCCAGAGCUAGAAGGGAUAUAUUUAAGCACAUAAAUUAGUCAAUGGAGGCCCACCUGCGACUUAGAGCUUCAUGAGGAUCCUUAACUGCCCAGGGGGUCCGAGAACAUAUCCAGAACUUGUCUGCACAGAUUUCUCUGUGCUGACUGGACAGAAAAUCGGCAUAUGUAGCCCACCGAGAUGCUAACAGCUGACACUGGCCUGAUUGUUGCUUUGCUCUGUAUUUUAAAAGGAGCCAUCAAGGACUUACCUAAUGUGAGUGACAUGGGAAUUUCAAGUGCUGUAGAAAAGCCAGCAAGGGACCUCAUAGUAGUGUUUGUCCAACUAUAGAGCCCGACGUAUUAGGGGGUUAUAAAAUCAGGGUUAUGAUCAACAGUUUUUUAAAUAAAAAAUUUUAAAUUUUUACUGUACCUUCA